rnacentral:rRNA from 1 species
UGCCUUACACAUGCAAGUCGAACGGUAACAGGUCUUUCGGGAUGCUGACGAGUGGCGAACGGGUGAGUAACACAUCGGAACGUGCCCAGUAAUGGGGGAUAGCCCGGCGAAAGCCGGAUUAAUACCGCAUACGCCCUAAGGGGGAAAGUGGGGGACCGCAAGGCCUCACGUUAUUGGAGCGGCCGAUGGCUGAUUAGCUAGUUGGUGGGGUAAAGGCCUACCAAGGCGACGAUCAGUAGCUGGUCUGAGAGGACGAUCAGCCACACUGGGACUGAGACACGGCCCAGACUCCUACGGGAGGCAGCAGUGGGGAAUUUUGGACAAUGGGCGAAAGCCUGAUCCAGCCAUGCCGCGUGCAGGAUGAAGGCCUUCGGGUUGUAAACUGC